UCCGUAGGCGGGUAAUUAAGUCAGAGGUGAAAUCCCACAGCUUAACUGUGGAACUGCCUUAGAUACUGGUUAUCUUGAGUUUUAGUGAAGUAGAUAGAAUGUGUAGUGUAGCGGUGAAAUGCAUAGAUAUUACACGGAAUACCGAUUGCGAAGGCAGUCUACUAACUAACAACUGACGCUAAUGGACGAAAGCGUGGGGAGCGAACAGGAUUAGAUACCCUGGUAGUCC
rnacentral:rRNA from 1 species